AUUGAACGCUGGCGGCAGGCCUAACACAUGCAAGUCGAGCGGAGCGGCGGACGGGUGAGUAAGUCCUAGGAAUCUGCAUGGUAGUGGGGGAUAACGUCCGGAAACGGGCGCUAAUACAGAAUACUAUCAGCUGAGCAUGGGUCGGAUUAGCUAGUUGGUGGGGUAAAGGCCUACAAAGGCGACGAUCCGGAACUGGUCUUAGAGGAUGAUCAGUCACACUGGAACGGAGACACGGUCCAGACUCCUACGUGAGGCAGCAGUGGGUAAUAUUGGACAAUGGGCGAAAGCCUGAUCCAGCCAUGCCGCGUGUGUGAAGAAGGUCUUCGGAUUGUAAAGCACUUUAAGUUGGGAGGCGUUACCAACAGAAUAAGCACCGGCUAACUUCGUGCCAGCAGCCGCGGUAAUAC
rnacentral:rRNA from 1 species